rnacentral:rRNA from 1 species
UACGAAGGGGGCUAGCGUUGUUCGGAUUUACUGGGCGUAAAGCGCACGUAGGCGGAUCGUUAAGUCGGGGGUGAAAUCCUGGAGCUCAACUCCAGAACUGCCUUCGAUACUGGCGAUCUUGAGUCCGGAAGAGGUGAGUGGAACUCCGAGUGUAGAGGUGAAAUUCGUAGAUAUUCGGAAGAACACCAGUGGCGAAGGCGACUACCUGGUCUGGCAUUGACGCUCAUGUGCGAAAGCGUGGGGAGCAAACAGG